rnacentral:lncRNA from 1 species
CUUCUUUGCUGUACAUUUAAGAAAAUCAGAAUUUCAGUAGACUCCUCGUGCAGUCUGAGGAGGCAGUUUCCUAUCUGGUUUGACUUAAGGGGCUGCAGAAGACAUUCUUAUCCCACAUAUUUCUUCUGCUGAUCAGUCAGCAACUGAAAUUCCAACUAAUGGAUUCCAUUCUUCCAGUUAAGACAUCAUCUCCAGAAAACUGUGCUAGUUGGCAUCCAGCAGUGCCCAAGUAUUAUUUAACCCACUAGAACCUGUGACUGCAUCAGCUUUAUAUCCUGGACCUCAGCCUGGAACAAAGGAGAGCUACACUUGGAUACUAAACACAAGUGGUCUGGAUAGAUUAUGCUGGGAAAAGAAGCCUGGAGCAGGCAGUACAGUGGGAGAACAAGGCCCCCAAAAGAUGAACUCCAAUCUGCUGCCCCUAAACGCAUUCUCCACUGUCUGGAAGAUGUGCAAAGGCAACGGCACAGCGUUCUCCAUCUCAAAUCCUUCAAAGUGCUGUCAGAAUAAAAGAAUCCCCACCAAAAGCCCCAGGGAAAUCUAUCUGUCUGUAUGGUAUGGUAAUGACUGAG